GCUUCAGUGAACAUUCAACGCUGUCGGUGAGUUUGGAAUUUAAGUGAAAACCAUCGACCGUUGAUUGUACCCUCCAGCUAACCAUCCUCCUCCU
ensembl:miRNA